AUACGUAGGGGGCGAGCGUUGUCCGGGAUUACUGGGCGUAAAGGGUGCGUAGGCGGUUUUUUAAGUCAGAUGUGAAAUACCCGGGCUUAACCUGGGGGGUGCAUCUGAUACUGGGGAACUUGAGUGCAGGAGAGGAAAGUGGAAUUCCUAGUGUAGCGGUGAAAUGCGUAGAUAUUAGGAGGAACACCAGUGGCGAAGGCGACUUUCUGGACUGUAACUGACACUGAGGCACGAAAGCGUGGGGAGCAAACAGGAUUAGAUACCCUGGUAGUCCACGCCGUAAACGAUGAGUACUAGCUGUCGGGGGUUACCCCCCUCGGUGGCGCAGCUAACGCAUUAAGUACUCCGCCUGGGAAGUACGCUCGCAAGAGUGAAACUCAAAUGAAUUGACGG
rnacentral:rRNA from 1 species